rnacentral:rRNA from 1 species
UACGGAGGGUGCAAGCGUUAUCCGGAUUCACUGGGUUUAAAGGGUGCGUAGGUGGGUUGGUAAGUCAGUGGUGAAAUCUCCGAGCUUAACUUGGAAACUGCCAUUGAUACUAUCAAUCUUGAAUAUUGUGGAGGUCAGCGGAAUAUGUCAUGUAGCGGUGAAAUGCUUAGAGAUGACGUAGAACACCAAUUGCGAAGGCAGCUGGCUACACAUAUAUUGACACUGAGGCACGAAAGCGUGGGGAGCGAACAGG